GACGAACGCUGGCGGCGUGCCUAAUACAUGCGAGUUGAGCGCUGAAGGUUGGUACUUGUACCGACUGGAUGAGCAGCGAACGGGUGAGUAACGCGUGGGGAAUCUGCCUUUGAGCGGGGGACAACAUUUGGAAACGAAUGCUAAUACCGCAUAAAAACUUUAAACACAAGUUUUAAGUUUGAAAGAUGCAAUUGCAUCACUCAAAGAUGAUCCCGCGUUGUAUUAGCUAGUUGGUGAGGUAAAGGCUCACCAAGGCGAUGAUACAUAGCCGACCUGAGAGGGUGAUCGGCCACAUUGGGACUGAGACACGGCCCAAACUCCUACGGGAGGCAGCAGUAGGGAAUCUUCGGCAAUGGACGAAAGUCUGACCGAGCAACGCCGCGUGAGUGAAGAAGGGUUUCGGAUCGUAAAACUCUGUUGGUAGAGAAGAACGUUGGUGAGAGUGGAAAGCUCAACAAGUGACGGUAACUACCCAGAAAGGGACGGCUAACUACGUG
rnacentral:rRNA from 1 species